AGAGUUUGAUCAUGGCUCAGGACGAACGCUGGCGGCACGCUUAACACAUGCAAGUCGAACGAGAGAAGAGGAGCUUGCUUUUCUGAUCUAGUGGCGGACGGGUGAGUAACACGUGAGCAAUCUGCCUUUCAGAGGGGGAUACCGAUUGGAAACGAUCGUUAAUACCGCAUAACAUAAUUGAACCGCAUGAUUUGAUUAUCAAAGAUUUAUCGCUGAAAGAUGAGCUCGCGUCUGAUUAGCUAGUUGGUAAGGUAACGGCUUACCAAGGCGACGAUCAGUAGCCGGACUGAGAGGUUGAUCGGCCACAUUGGGACUGAGACACGGCCCAGACUCCUACGGGAGGCAGCAGUGGGGAAUAUUGCACAAUGGAGGAAACUCUGAUGCAGCGAUGCCGCGUGAGGGAAGAAGGUUUUAGGAUUGUAAACCUCUGUCUUCAGGGACGAAAAAAGACGGUACCUGAGGAGGAAGCUCCGGCUAACUACGUGCCAGCAGCCGCGGUAAUACGUAGGGAGCGAGCGUUGUCCGGAAUUACUGGGUGUAAAGGGAGCGUAGGCGGGAUCGCAAGUCAGAUGUGAAAACUAUGGGCUUAACCCAUAAACUGCAUUUGAAACUGUGGUUCUUGAGUGAAGUAGAGGUAAGCGGAAUUCCUAGUGUAGCGGUUAAAUGCGUAGAUAUUAGGAGGAACAUCAGUGGCGAAGGCGGCUUACUGGGCUUUAACUGACGCUGAGGCUCGAAAGCGUGGGGAGCAAACAGGAUUAGAUACCCUGGUAGUCCACGCCGUAAACGAUGAUUACUAGGUGUGGGGGGACUGACCCCUUCCGUGCCGCAGCAAACGCAAUAAGUAAUCCACCUGGGGAGUACGACCGCAAGGUUGAAACUCAAAGGAAUUGACGGGGGCCCGCACAAGCAGUGGAGUAUGUGGAUUAAUUCGAAGCAACGCGAAGAACCUUACCAGGUCUUGACAUCGUAUGCAUAGCUCAGAGAUGAGUGAAAUCUCUUCGGAGACAUAUAGACAGGUGGUGCAUGGUUGUCGUCAGCUCGUGUCGUGAGAUGUUGGGUUAAGUCCCGCAACGAGCGCAACCCUUACUGUUAGUUGCUACGCAAGAGCACUCUAGCAGGACUGCCGUUGACAAAACGGAGGAAGGUGGGGAUGACGUCAAAUCAUCAUGCCCCUUAUGACCUGGGCCUCACACGUACUACAAUGGCUGUCAACAGAGGGAAGCAAAGCCGCGAGGUGGAGCGAACCCCUAAAAGCAGUCUUAGUUCGGAUUGUAGGCUGCAACCCGCCUACAUGAAGUCGGAAUUGCUAGUAAUCGCAGAUCAGCAUGCUGCGGUGAAUACGUUCCCGGGCCUUGUACACACCGCCCGUCACGCCAUGGGAGUCGGUAACACCCGAAGCCUGUAGUCUAACCGCAAGGAGGACGCAGUCGAAGGUGGGAUUGAUGACUGGGGUGAAGUCGUAACAAGGUA
rnacentral:rRNA from 1 species